UGGAUCAAUGGUGACAUCUUGUUGGAGGUGAACAGUGGAGCAGGAGAACAGGUCCGGAAGUCUUGAGUCCCAU
ensembl:snoRNA Gm27604 predicted gene, 27604